GCCCAAUGAUGAGACCAAGGCGAAUGCGAGCUCGUUGGGUAAGAGUCUGAGUUCUUCUGUGCUCCUACUGGCGGGUAAUCUUGGCUGGGCAGGGGAGGUUUGCUGCUUUGCUGUAAGGGCCUGCCUACAUUAAACAAGUUCUUCCUAUCAAGAUUUCCCUCAAAGAAAUGCAGGAGAAAUUUGGGAAGGAUGAUCAUAGUGUGUGUGUGUGUGGAUGUGGACACAGGUCGAAACUCAGUUCUCUAUAAUGUCCAAUGAGCUGUGAGCUAGUUCUUCUGUAAUCUGAGGGCA
ensembl:snoRNA